GCACGGAGUUAGCCGGUGCUUAUUCAUCGGGUACCGUCAACCCAGCAAGAAAACUGGGGUUUCUUCUCCGAUAAAAGAAGUUUACAAUCCAGAGGACCUUCAUCCUCCACGCGGCAUGGCUGGUUCAGACUUGCGUCCAUUGACCAAUAUUCCUUACUGCUGCCUCCCGUAGGAGUCGGGCCCGUGUCUCAGUGCCCGUGUGACUGGUCGUGCUCUCACACCAGUUACUGAUCGUAGGCUUGGUGGGCCGUUACCCCGCCAACUACCUAAUCAGGCGCACGCUCAUCCAAAACCGCCGGAGCUAUAAUAAUAAAGUGAUGCCACUUCAUUAUGUUACGGUGUAUUAAUCCUCCUUUCGGAGGGCUAUUCACCAGUUUUGGGAAGAUUGCGUACGUGUUCCGCACCCGUUUGCCGGUCGCCAUCAGUGUAUUGCUACACCAUGCUGCCCCACGACUUGCAUGUAUUAAGCCUGCCGCUAGCGUUCAUC
rnacentral:rRNA from 1 species